ACUCAGAAGAUGAAUCUCUUCCAGUCAAUAACGAGUGCCUUGGAUAACGCUUUAGCCAAAGAUCCAACUGCAGUAAUAUUUGGAGAAGAUGUAGCCUUUGGUGGAGUCUUCAGGUGUACAGUUGGUUUGCGAGACAAAUAUGGUAAAGACAGAGUUUUCAACACUCCCUUGUGUGAGCAAGGAAUUGUUGGUUUUGGGAUUGGAGUUGCUGUUGCAGGUGCUACAGCCAUUGCAGAGAUUCAAUUUGCAGAUUACAUUUUUCCAGCAUUUGAUCAGAUUGUUAACGAAGCAGCAAAAUAUCGUUACCGCUCUGGAGAUUUGUUUAACUGUGGUAGUCUUACCAUCAGAGCCCCCUGGGGUUGUGUGGGCCACGGUGCGCUGUAUCACUCUCAAAGUCCGGAAGCUUUUUUUGCUCACUGUCCAGGAAUAAAGAUUGUUAUUCCAAGAAGUCCUGUUCAGGCCAAAGGAUUGCUGCUAUCGUGCAUAGAGGACAAAAAUCCAUGCAUAUUUUUUGAACCUAAAAUACUUUACCGAGCUGCAGUGGAACAAGUCCCUGUGGAGCCCUACAACAUUCCGCUGUCUCAAGCUGAGGUGCUGCAGACGGGCAGUGAUGUGACACUGGUUGCUUGGGGGACUCAGGUACAUGUGAUCAAAGAGGUAGCAACAAUGGCUCAAGAAAAACUUGGUGUAUCCUGUGAAGUUAUUGAUCUGAGGACCAUCCUACCCUGGGAUACAGAGACUGUUUGCAAGUCAGUGGUGAAGACUGGGCGAUUGCUGAUUAGUCAUGAGGCUCCUUUGACAGGAGGAUUUGCAUCUGAAAUCAGUUCUACAGUUCAGGAGGAGUGCUUUUUGAAUUUAGAGGCUCCUAUUUCAAGAGUAUGUGGCUAUGACACUCCUUUUCCUCACAUCUUUGAGCCUUUCUACAUCCCAGACAAAUGGAAAUGCUAUGAUGCUCUUCGAAAAAUGAUUAAUUACUGAGAAGUAAUACAGAGAUGAGAAGAACAACAGGGAAAUACAGAAGCCUUCUUCAAAAUUCUUGACGUUUACUCAGAGCUUUUGGUUUUGGAAUUUGUAUAGCACAGACUGUUUUCUUUAAAAUCAGCUAUCGUUAAUAUUCCUCUUGACUAUUCUUCAGAAACUUCAAAUCCCCACUAAUUUUGAAAUCAGUGAUGGGCAGAAUCCCACAUUAUCCAGCUGGAAUGAAAGGAGGAGGAAGAAAUUUUGCGAUAAUGCAACUGAAAAUGAAGCUGUUGAUAUGUUUCUAAUCAAAAUGACAUUAUCAAAUCUUCUGUAAAUGUCUUCUGCCUGUAAGUCUUCUGUAAAUGCUGUCUGUAGAAUUUCUUGUUUUAAAUAAGCUCUAUGCAU